AGAAAAAACACCUUGAUCAAAAGAUCGCAUAAAAAGCGGAAGAUUUCUUACAGAACUCCCACUUUUGUGCGUGACUUUGUGUGCUUCGUGUCAACAAUGUGUAGAACGUAACCAAAAUAGGCACAAUAUGUUAAGCAUAUCAUGUCUUUCAUGUAUCUCCUAGUUUUUGGUUUCUCCGACGUGAACCGCGUUCCUUUCUCCACUAGCGUGCAUUGUGCAAGAGCACAAAAAAGUUUUGUCUGGCGUUGGCUAACUAUGCACAUGACAUCUGUUAAUUGUCCAACUCUUCGGCUGGGUGAACAAGUAUUUUUUUUCAUUCACAUGUAAACGUCUUUCAUAUCAAGUCACGCACAUAACACACAGUCAACACCAUCAGUGCAUCGUAGGGCGCACACAUUGCCUUCAUUUCCUCCUCAGUCCAAAUGGAUGUUAGCUGCGGAAAUAUGCUAGAUUUACGUUAUCAAAUGCCCUCGAUAUGGCUGGACAGAGUCGAGGACUUUUUAUACCACCAACAAGCAAGUUUGGCGAGAAGCUAAUUUGGGAAGCACCGUUCACCUUCUCUUCAAAAGAAGACCAAGUUUUCAACCUUCGGAGUACAUGCUUGUUCAUCGAAAUACCCCCGUCACCGGAGGAAAUUAUUUCAACUGGGAAAUCCAUGUAAUUGGAAUAUCAUCUGGAAAGUGUUGGAAGGUGUGGACCACUGUUUCGAAAAAGGAGGAUCAACAACUGAUUGAUAUCGCACCGAUCGACAGAUGGCGCCAAACACUACACACGUACACAAACAACACGGGAUUUCCGUCUGGUUUGCCACAUUGCUCGUAGUACAGCUCAUGAAUGUCGUCCACUUUCAGCCUGCCUGUGUCGUACGGUUCGAUUGGUGUGUAAAAUCGUCAAAUACCAUUGGCAUUGAGCUGCAGGAGUUGUUUGAUGGCUAUCUGCUCAGGCAAUCCAGCUCCAGGC